rnacentral:lncRNA from 1 species
CUUCCUCCAACAGGAGCUGGAGGUGUCCAUUUGUGGAGUCUUCUCACCCCUGGAAGUCAGAAGGGGCCAGAUGCACGUUCCUGGGCCCGGGAGGGCCUCCAGCCUCCCACAAGUCUCUCCGAAGUCCAGAGAGGCCACAGACUUGGCGCAGGGAAGCCGAGAACUGUACCAGCACACUCGAGGGAAGGGCGUGAAGGUGUUGUGUAACUGGCAUUGGCUGAGACGAGACCAACCUCCUGUUUCCGGACUCUUAUGAACUUAAAUCACGGCUUGAAACUCUCCACGACCCCAGUCAGCCCCUGUGCCUCAACUAUUUUCGAUCAGGCAAGUGAGGUGUGAGUCAAAACAAAGGAAACUGGUCUACAGUGUGCUUUGGGCGCAGCUGGUGUCAUGGUUGUGAUGGAAUUCAAGUUGACACUACCUAUUCCCCAUCAGAAAACGGCAUUUGCUGGCAAAGUUGAUCCCCAGACUCUGGAUCUGGAGAAAUUCUACACAGAGUUCAGUGACAGCCAACCCCUGAAUCUCACUGCGGCAAAACAGCACAACUAAGGGAAGAAAAGUGGAAAUAAAGGACAUCUUUUCUUCUAAGCCUAAUAAAGACCAACGUAACUGUUGGUACAGCAACUAAUUCGUGAGGACAAAGCUUUUCUUCACAUGCCAGUCCUUAAAAAAAACAAAGCCUCGUACAGUAAGAGUAGCCAGGUGUUAGCCACUU